GGGCGGCAGGCCGCGGCCUAGGAGAAGGAAACGGAAAUCGCUACGACUCCCUCCCUCGGCCUCCACAGGCCGGACAGUCCUCUCAGAGAAAACUCGGGACCGGAACCAAAUGAAAAUCUUACCAAGCCACCUUCAGUUUCCUUGAGAAAAAUCAGGAGUUCAAGGUAGCAAGUUUGAGUCCAGCCUAAGAUGAAUGGGACCCUGUCUCAAAACAAAACAAACAAAAAUUCACCUCAAGCGACCCUUCUUUGUCUUUAUAGGAUUAUAGGUGUGUACUGCCAUGCCCUGCUUAUGCUGUGCUGGUGAACUGGGGACUCUGCAUACUAGCAGCCAGUUACGCAUGGAAACUACAAUAUAGAUCACUUUUCUGCUCAGAUCCCUUCACUGGCUCUCCAGUUCACUCAACCAAAGGCCACCUCCAAAGACUUAGUGCUGGCCCAUGUGACUGAUAGAAUACAGAAGUGGCGAUGCAUGACAUUUAAGAGGACCUUCACUAAGUCCCCAGUGCUCACAUAGUGAUUGCAAACCAUCUGUUAACUCCAGUUACUGGUGAUCUGAUGCCUACUCUCUGCCUGAAUCAUCAGGAAGGGGUACAUACCUGUCAAGGAUCACACUGGUAUGUCAGAGAGGAUGGCCUUCCUGAAGAUCAUUUAUGAAAAAAAAAAUGAACCUAAAGCUAUUCUUGAGAACAUCGUGGUAACACACACCUGGAAUUUCAACACUUGGGAUGUGACCACAAGAGGAUCAGGAAUUCAAGGUCAUCAUCAACUGCCCUGUUGUUGUAAGAUUAUCAGUGUCCCCAAUCAACAGGAUAUAAUCUGGA